rnacentral:rRNA from 1 species
GAAGGUGGCCUGUGAGGGUUGCUGGAGGUAUCAGAAGUGCGAAUGCUGACAUAAGUAACGAUAAAGCGGGUGAAAAGCCCGCUCGCCGGAAGACCAAGGGUUCCUGUCCAACGUUAAUCGGGGCAGGGUGAGUCGACCCCUAAGGCGAGGCCGAAAGGCGUAGUCGAUGGGAAACGGGUUAAUAUUCCCGUACUUGGUGUUACUGCGAAGGGGGGACGGAGAAGGCUAUGUUGGCCGGGCGACGGUUGUCCCGGUUUAAGCGUGUAGGUGUGUGUUCCAGGUAAAUCCGGUUCACUUUAACACUGAGGCGUGACGACGAGGCACUACGGUGCUGAAGCAACAAAUGCCCUGCUUCCAGGAAAAGCCUCUAAGCAUCAGGUAACAUCAAAUCGUACCCCAAACCGACACAGGUGGUCAGGUAGAGAAUACCAAGGCGCUUGAGAGAACUCGGGUGAAGGAACUAGGCAAAAUGGUGCCGUAACUUCGGGAGAAGGCACGCUGACA